UAGGGAAUCUUCCACAAUGGACGCAAGUCUGAUGGAGCAACGCCGCGUGAGUGAAGAAGGUUUUCGGAUCGUAAAGCUCUGUUGUUGGUGAAGAAGGAUAGAGGUAGUAACUGGCCUUUAUUUGACGGUAAUCAACCAGAAAGUCACGGCUAACUACGUGCCAGCAGCCGCGGUAAUACGUAGGUGGCAAGCGUUGUCCGGAUUUAUUGGGCGUAAAGCGAGCGCAGGCGGAAGAAUAAGUCUGAUGUGAAAGCCCUCGGCUUAACCGUGGAACUGCAUCGGAAACUGUUUUUCUUGAGUGCAGAAGAGGAGAGUGGAAUUCCAUGUGUAGCGGUGGAAUGCGUAGAUAUAUGGAAGAACACCAGUGGCGAAGGCGACUCUCUGGUCUGCAACUGACGCUGAGGCUCGAAAGCAUGGGUAGCGAACAGG
rnacentral:rRNA from 1 species